rnacentral:rRNA from 1 species
GCCGAAGGUGGCGAGCGUUGUUCGGAAUCACUGGGCAUAAAGCGCACGUAGGCGGUGUCGUAAGUCGGAUGUGAAAUCCCUCGGCCUAACCGAGGAACUGCGUCCGAUACUGCGAUGCUUGAGGAUCAGAGGGGUGCAUGGAAUUUCCGGUGGAGCGGUGAAAUGCGUUGAUAUCGGAAGGAACUCCGGCGGCGAAAGCGAUGCACUGGCUGAUUUCUGACGCUGAGGUGCGAAAGCCAGGGGAGCAAACGGG